rnacentral:rRNA from 1 species
GAUGAACGCUGGCGGCGUGCUUAACACAUGCAAGUCGAACGGAAAGGCCCAAGCUUGCUUGGGUACUCGAGUGGCGAACGGGUGAGUAACACGUGGGUGAUCUGCCCUGCACUUCGGGAUAAGCCUGGGAAACUGGGUCUAAUACCGGAUAGGACCACAUUUUGGAUGGUGUGGUGGAAAGUUUUUCGGUGUGGGAUGAGCUCGCGGCCUAUCAGCUUGUUGGUGGGGUAAUGGCCUACCAAGGCGUCGACGGGUAGCCGGCCUGAGAGGGUGUACGGCCACAUUGGGACUGAGAUACGGCCCAGACGCCUACGGGAGGCAGCAGUGGGGAAGAUUGCACAAUGGGCGCAAGCCUGAUGCAGCGACGCCGCGUGGGGGAUGACGGCCUUCGGGUUGUAAACUCCUUUCGCUAGGGACGAAGCGUUAUGUGACGGUACCUGGAGAAGAAGCACCGGCUAACUACGUG